CCGGCAAACGGGUGCGGAACACGUACGCAACCUUCCUUUAAGUGGGGGAUAGCCCAGGGAAGCUUGGAUUAAUACCCCGUAAUAUUAUGAGAUGGCAUCAUCUUAUAAUUAAAGCUCCGGCGCUUAAAGAUGGGCGUGCGCCUGAUUAGGUAGUUGGCGGGGUAACGGCCCACCAAGCCUUCGAUCAGUAACUGGUGUGAGAGCACGACCAGUCACACGGGCACUGAGACACGGGCCCG
rnacentral:rRNA from 1 species